rfam:Pseudomonas sp. G5(2012) strain G5 PG5_35, whole genome shotgun sequence.
CACCCAGUUUCGGGGACCUUGGUACAGGCAGGCCGGGGAUUCCCCUCUUUACACCGGGCUCAUACCGCACAAGCGACGAGCCUCCCAGUUUUGGGGUCCUUGGUACAGGCAGGCCGGGGAUUCCCUCUUUACACCGGGUUCAAGCGCAAUGCGCGAGCCCUCCCGUUUUGGGGACCUUGGUACAGGCAGGCCGGGGAUUCCCUCUUUUAUUGCUCCCGG